CGAACGCUGGCGGCGUGCUUACCACAUGCAAGUCGCACGGAAAGGCCCUGCUUUUGUGGGGUGCUCGAGUGGCGAACGGGUGAGUAACACGUGAGUAACCUGCCCUUGACUUUGGGAUAACUUCAGGAAACUGGGGCUAAUACCGGAUAGGAGCUCCUGCUGCAUGGUGGGGGUUGGAAAGUUUCGGCGGUUGGGGAUGGACUCGCGGCUUAUCAGCUUGUUGGUGGGGUAGUGGCUUACCAAGGCUUUGACGGGUAGCCGGCCUGAGAGGGUGACCGGCCACAUUGGGACUGAGAUACGGCCCAGACUCCUACGGGAGGCAGCAGUGGGGAAUAUUGCACAAUGGGCGGAAGCCUGAUGCAGCAACGCCGCGUGCGGGAUGACGGCCUUCGGGUUGUAAACCGCUUUCGCCUGUGACGAAGCGUGAGUGACGGUAAUGGGUAAAGAAGCACCGGCUAACUACGUG
rnacentral:rRNA from 1 species